rnacentral:sRNA from 1 species
AUGGCUGUCGUCAGCUCGUGUCGUGAGAUGUUGGGUUAAGUCCCGCAACGAGCGCAACCCUCAUUUUUAGUUGCCAUCAGGUAAUGCUGGGCACUCUAAAGAAACUGCCGGUGAUAAGCUGGAGGAAGGCGGGGAUGACGUCAAGUCCUCAUGGCCCUUAUGGUCUGGGCUACACACGUGCUACAAUGGUGGUGACAGUGGGCAGCGAUUUCGCAAGAAAAAGCUAAUCCUCAAAAGCCAUCUCAGUUCAGAUUGGACUCUGCAACUCGAGUCCAUGAAGUUGGAAUCGCUAGUAAUCGUAGAUCAGCAUGCUACGGUGAAUACGUUCUCGGGCCUUGUACACACCGCCCGUCACGCCAUGGAAGUUGGUUUUACCUUAAGCCGGUGCGCUAACCGCAAGGAGGCAGCCGUUCACGGUAGGGUCAGCAACUGGGGCGAAGUCGUAACAAGGUAGCCGUAGGGGAACCUGCGGCUGGAUCACCUCCUUUCUAAGGAUAUUGAUAAUUAGUUCGCUAGUUAUCCGGGUUGUUGUCUAUGUAUCUCUUUAUAAUAUUAGCUAGUGCUAGGAGUUUUCUUUUGUAAACUGGGCUAGUAGCUCAGUUUGGUUAGAGCGCGCGCUUGAUAAGCGUGAGGUCGGAGGUUCAAGUCCUCCCUGGCCCACCAAUUAUAUAGGGGGGAUUAGCUCAGCUGGGAGAGCGCCUGAUUUGCAUUCAGGAGGUCAGCGGUUCGAUCCCGCUAUCCUCCACCAAAACUAGUUAACUGUCUUAUUUGUAUUGUUCUUUAAAAUGUAAAUAUGAAACUAAUUAAUAACUGAUCAAAUAAAUUAAAUUUUUUGAUUAAAAUACGUACAUAAAAUUUUUCUCUGUACGUAAUUGCAAUCAAGCGCAAAAGGGCAUUUAGUGGAUGCCUUGGCAUCAAGAGACGAUGAAGGACGUGGCAGGCUGCGAUAAGCUAAGGGGAGUUGUCAACACACUUUGAUCCUUAGAUAUCCGAAUGGGGAAACCCGG